rnacentral:rRNA from 1 species
AUUAGAGUUUGAUCCUGGCUCAGGACGAACGCUGGCGGCGUGCCUAAUACAUGCAAGUCGAGCGGACAGAUGGGAGCUUGCUCCCUGAUGUUAGCGGCGGACGGGUGAGUAACACGUGGGUAACCUGCCUGUAAGACUGGGAUAACUCCGGGAAACCGGGGCUAAUACCGGAUGGUUGUUUGAACCGCAUGGUUCAAACAUAAAAGGUGGCUUCGGCUACCACUUACAGAUGGACCCGCGGCGCAUUAGCUAGUUGGUGAGGUAAUGGCUCACCAAGGCAACGAUGCGUAGCCGACCUGAGAGGGUGAUCGGCCACACUGGGACUGAGACACGGCCCAGACUCCUACGGGAGGCAGCAGUAGGGAAUCUUCCGCAAUGGACGAAAGUCUGACGGAGCAACGCCGCGUGAGUGAUGAAGGUUUUCGGAUCGUAAAGCUCUGUUGUUAGGGAAGAACAAGUGCCGUUCGAAUAGGGCGGCACCUUGACGGUACCUAACCAGAAAGCCACGGCUAACUACGUGCCAGCAGCCGCGGUAAUACGUAGGUGGCAAGCGUUGUCCGGAAUUAUUGGGCGUAAAGGGCUCGCAGGCGGUUUCUUAAGUCUGAUGUGAAAGCCCCCGGCUCAACCGGGGAGGGUCAUUGGAAACUGGGGAACUUGAGUGCAGAAGAGGAGAGUGGAAUUCCACGUGUAGCGGUGAAAUGCGUAGAGAUGUGGAGGAACACCAGUGGCGAAGGCGACUCUCUGGUCUGUAACUGACGCUGAGGAGCGAAAGCGUGGGGAGCGAACAGGAUUAGAUACCCUGGUAUCCGCCCUUAGUGCUGCAGCUAACGCAUUAAGCAGGGUU